UACAGAGGGGGCAAGCGUUGUUCGGAAUUACUGGGCGUAAAGGGCGCGUAGGCGGCCUGUUAAGUCGAACGUGAAAUCCCUGGGCUCAACCCAGGAACUGCGUCCGAUACUGGCAGGCUUGAAUUCGGGAGAGGGAUGCGGAAUUCCAGGUGUAGCGGUGAAAUGCGUAGAUAUCUGGAGGAACACCGGUGGCGAAGGCGGGUCA
rnacentral:rRNA from 1 species